UGAGGAUCAUCAACACCAGUUAUGUGAAUUGAUGGGGGGCCACCCGGCUGAUCUGCAAGUGACUGGAUUAAGUACAACCACUGAGUGCCCUGUGCAAUCUGGAAAUCAAUUAUGUGAAUUCUAGGCUCAUAUUCCACAGCUUCACGAAUGACAACAUUGGCAGCUGCGUAUGCAAACCUCCAGUAUGGACAGAUUUUAGAGAGAAUACCCAUGUAAGUCAUCAGAUCUGAGCUCAAUGGUGCUUCACACUUCGAAGCUCUGUAGAUUUUACUUCCUGAUAGUUCAACCCUUGCUCUGAGCCCUUCCAACAUGUACGCUCCCAAACGCUGCAUUGGCGUUCCAGACACUGACACCAUUUGCUCCAACACAUGCAUUAAACGUGCUGCUCUUGGUAUGUCACCAUCAGAUAUUGAUUGAGCACAGGCCAAGAGCAUUUGUUUCAUGUCUAACCUAGGGAUCAUUUCCACCAUUUGCGUCCAGUCCCAUCUUUCUAAUCGAUCAGCUUGGUGGAAGCAGAAAUUGGCAUCGUUUGUAAUGUCCAAUUCAGACCCCAGUAACAAAAAUUCCAGU
rnacentral:misc_RNA from 1 species